AUGCGGCGGGCUCGGGCCGCGGGGCUGGCGGCGCUGGCUGUGCUGCUCAUCGUAGAUGCAGUCAGAGCCCAGGUAGAGCAGGACCCAUUCUUGGAGACCACCGAGGGCACCAGCAUCAACAUCACCUGUUCACAUCCCCAAAUCCAGAUCAGUGAUACGAUCCAGUGGUACUGCCAGCUCCCAGGACAAGCACCUGAACUCCUCGCACUCACUAUGAGAGAGACCAAAGAGCUGCCGGAUGGUGCAGGACAGCUGUUGGUGUCGGCAGAUCGGCGUUCGAGCUGGCUGUGGCUCGCUGAGCCCCGGCGCGGGGACGCGGCCGUGUAUUACUGCGCGCUGGGGGCCACGGCAAUGGACACCGGCACGGGCAAUGGGACCGGGAUCGACACCGCCAGUGGGCAUCGGCACCGACACCCGCACCGUCAUUGA